AACCAACGCUGGCGGCGUGCCUAACACAUGCAAGUCGAGCGGGAAAGGGGGCUUCGGCCCCUGAGUAUAGCGGCGGACGGGUGAGUAACACGUGGGUAAUUUGCCCUUGGGUGUGGAAUAACUCAGGGAAACUUGAGCUAAUACCGCAUGACAUCCCCUUCACACACGAGUCGGGGAUCAAAGCCGGGGACCCUUCGGGGCCUGGCGCCUGAGGAGAAGCCCGCGCCCGAUUAGCUAGUUGGUGAGGUAAUGGCUCACCAAGGCUUCGAUCGGUAGCCGGCCUGAGAGGGCGGACGGCCACACUGGGACUGAGACACGGCCCAGACUCCUACGGGAGGCAGCAGUGGGGAAUUUUGUCAAUGGGGGAAACCCUGAACAAGCAACGCCGCGUGGAGGACGACGACCU
rnacentral:rRNA from 1 species